CAGUAUGAGGUCAGCCACGGCAUGCCUGGGGUCACUUUCCAUUCCCUCCGUUGUCCAGGACCAACUGCGUUCGCCCAGGCCCCCCAGAGCUGCGGGAGCAGAAUUCCUUAUCUGCAAAUCUGUGCACUCACUACCUUUUGCUGUGACCUCCAGAUCAGAACUCAUAAGGUUUCCUGGGCGUACAUUCCCAGCUGAGGCUAUGCGGCCGCUCGAGGAUUUAAACCCGCACCCCCUCUGGCUCCUGCACCGCAUCCGUCUCCAAAGCAAGGACUCGGUCCUGUCCAUCUCUGCCCUCCAGUGUUCUGCCCGAGACCCAGCAAACAGGAGGCACUGACACGUGACGCCGUGUGGAUGAACCUGGAAAGCAUCCUGGGAAGUGAGAAGCCAGAUCCCAAAGGCCGCGCCUUGUAGGAUUCCUUUUGCGUGAAAUGUCGGGACUGGGCAAGUCCAGAGACAGAAAGCAGGCUGGUGGCUGGCAGGGGCUGGCGGGGGACAGGGAGGGUCUCCCGGGCUGGGGGCAGGUGGGCGGGGCCCUCAGGCAGGUCUGGUGCCAGCGUCCUCCAGGGCCUGGAGGAAAAAGGACUGAGCCACCGGCGGGCACGGGGACCGCACGCUUCCCCCAGCAUCUCCCACACAGAGGGUUCCAGUACUUACCC